rnacentral:rRNA from 1 species
UACCAGCUCUCCGAGUGGUAGGGAUGAUUAUUGGGCUUAAAGCGUCCGUAGCCGGCUUAGCAAGUUUCCUGUUAAACCCAGCGACUCAAUCGUUGGAUCGCGGGAAAUACUACUAGGCUAGGAGGCGGGAGAGGUCAACGGUACUUCUGGGGUAGGGGUGAAAUCCUAUAAUCCCGGGAGGACCACCAGUGGCGAAGGCUGUUGACUAGAACGCGCUCGACGGUGAGGGACGAAAGCUGGGGUAGCAAACCGGAUUAGAUACCCGGGUAGUCCCAGCUGUAAACGAUGCGAGCUAGGUGUUGGGAUGGCUACGGGCCAUUUCAGUGCCGCAGGGAAGCCAUUAAGCUCGCCGCCUGGGGAGUACGGCCGCAAGGCUGAAACUUAAAGGAAUUGGCGGGGGAGCACCACAAGGCGCGAAGCUUGCGGUUC